UGGUAGUCCACGCCGUAAACGAUGUCUACUUGGAGGUUGUGGCCUUGAGCCGUGGCUUUCGGAGCUAACGCGUUAAGUAGACCGCCUGGGGAGUACGGUCGCAAGAUUAAAACUCAAAUGAAUUGACGGGGGCCCGCACAAGCGGUGGAGCAUGUGGUUUAAUUCGAUGCAACGCGAAGAACCUUACCUACUCUUGACAUCCAGAGAACUUAGCAGAGAUGCUUUGGUGCCUUCGGGAACUCUGAGACAGGUGCUGCAUGGCUGUCGUCAGCUCGUGUUGUGAAAUGUUGGGUUAAGUCCCGCAACGAGCGCAACCCUUAUCCUUGUUUGCCAGCGAGUAAUGUCGGGAACUCCAGGGAGACUGCCGGUGAUAAACCGGAGGAAGGUGGGGACGACGUCAAGUCAUCAUGGCCCUUACGAGUAGGGCUACACACGUGCUACAAUGGCGCAUACAGAGGGCGGCCAACUUGCGAAAGUGAGCGAAUCCCAAAAAGUGCGUCGUAGUCCGGAUUGGAGUCUGCAACUCGACUCCAUGAAGUCGGAAUCGCUAGUAAUCGUGAAUCAGAAUGUCACGGUGAAUACGUUCCCGGGCCUUGUACACACCGCCCGUCACACCAUGGGAGUGGGCUGCAAAAGAAGC
rnacentral:rRNA from 1 species